UGCAUAAUGCUUUUUUCAUAAUCUGGUUGUUCUCUUUUGGUCUUAAAACUCUGAGCAGACCCUGCUUCUUUAGAACAGAAAUAGUUCCGUCAGGGGUUAAGCUGUAGAGAGCUCUCCAAAGAUCAUUAUUUGGGUCCUCAUCGAGCACACCUGCUGGCAUUAAACUAAUCACUGGCGUAAUGAUAGGUUCAAUUGAACCUCCAAACUCACCUCGAAUAUCUCAGGAAAUAGACUCCAUUCUGAUGUUUUCUACCGCCAAACAAGGGAGACAAAAGCUGCUGCUCUUAAUUUGCAGGAACAGUGAGCCACAGACGGCUAAUCACGUCCGGAACCAAAGGCACCUGCCCUAUCUGCCUCUACAUUUGGUGAGGAAUCUUUAAAGAGGCUAAACCUCACUUUCAUGCUUGUCUUUUAUUCACGGUAAGUGCUUAUCGAAACCGAGCUGUUGCCACUGCCCCGUGUUCCCUCCCACAAGCUCGGAGAAUGCUUGACGAUUGCUGUUAUACUUUGUAUAAGAAGGUGCUAAUAACUUGGAGGCUCUUAGACUGGGCGAUCUAAUCCCUUUGUAUGAUAAAGACUCGCCACGCCGAGAGUGGCUGCCAGAUCGUGGACAAGGUGCUUCAGAGGAAACCUGGCUACAUGCUGAAGAACCAGCAUUAAAUGUGCUCGGUUGCCCAUUGAGUGCCUCGGACAGUGAAUGAUGAUUUGCUAGUUAAACUAUUUUUUUUUAAAUGUGCGUUUUGGCUUUUGGGACAGGAAAGAGAAUUGACAGAGCAAAGUAAAAGAUGGAGACUGAUGGGAUCUUUCAUUAAUAUUUCUUAGAAAAAAAAGUUUUAAAAAUUUACCUCUUUAAACUUGUAUUUUUUUUUUUUUUUACAACGUCAUGUGGUGCAACCAACAUGCAGGAAAAAAGGAAGUGAUAUAAUAGAGAAGACCCCAGCAGACCCUCAUGACUGUGUGUCAAUGUCAGUAAUUCUCAUAAAAUAUCAGACAGUUUGGCUUAUCAGGUUUAUUUCAGGUUGUCAUGUGGUGCAACUCCCCCCAGCACUUUGAAUUAUUCAUUAAUGAUAUUUGUAAAAAAAAAAAAAAUUUAAUAAAUGAAAAAAUUAC